rnacentral:misc_RNA from 1 species
UUAAGUUCAGCGGGUAUCCCUACCUGAUCCGAGGUCAAUCUUAGGAGAUGUUGGGGGGUUUGGAGGCAGGAAGCACGAGAGCGCUCUAAGCGGAAUGUAUUCUACUACGCUAGAGGCUCGGGGCCACCGCCGACACGUUUAGAGGCCGCCCCCGUGAAGGGACGGAGCCUCAAAGCCAAGCCAGAGGCUUGAUUGUCUUC